GAUGAACGCUGGCGGCGUGCCUAAUACAUGCAAGUCGAGCGAACGGACGAGAAGCUUGCUUCUCUGAUGUUAGCGGCGGACGGGUGAGUAACACGUGGAUAACCUACCUAUAAGACUGGGAUAACUUCGGGAAACCGGAGCUAAUACCGGAUAAUAUUUUGAACCGCAUGGUUCAAAAGUGAAAGGCGGUCUUGCUGUCACUUAUAGAUGGAUCCGCGCUGCAUUAGCUAGUUGGUAAGGUAACGGCUUACCAAGGCAACGAUGCAUAGCCGACCUGAGAGGGUGAUCGGCCACACUGGAACUGAGACACGGUCCAGACUCCUACGGGAGGCAGCAGUAGGGAAUCUUCCGCAAUGUGCGAAAGCCUGACGGAGCAACGCCGCGUGAGUGAUGAAGGUCUUCGGAUCGUAAAACUCUGUUAUUAGGGAAGAACAUAUGUGUAAGUAACUGUGCACAUCUUGACGGUACCUAAUCAGAAAGCCACGGCUAACUACGUG
rnacentral:rRNA from 1 species